CGGAGGGUGCAAGCGUUAUCCGGAUUCACUGGGUUUAAAGGGUGCGUAGGUGGGAAUGUAAGUCAGUGGUGAAAUCUCCGUGCUUAACAUGGAAACUGCCAUUGAUACUAUGUUUCUUGAAUUUUCUGGAGGUAAGCGGAAUAUGUCAUGUAGCGGUGAAAUGCUUAGAUAUGACAUAGAACACCAAUUGCGAAGGCAGCUUACUACAGGGAUAUUGACACUGAGGCACGAAAGCGUGGGGGAUCAAACAGGAUUAGAUACCCUGGUAGUCCACGCCCUAAACGAUGGAUACUCGACAUUUGUGAUACACAAUAAGUGUCUGAGCGAAAGCAUUAAGUAUCCCACCUGGGAAGUACGACCGCAAGGUUG
rnacentral:rRNA from 1 species